GACAGAGGGUGCAAACGUUGCUCGGAAUUACUGGGCGUAGAGCGCGUGUAGGCGGACCUGCAAGUCGGACGUGAAAGCCCUGGGCUCAACCCAGGAACUGCAUCCGAAACUGCGGGCCUGGAGUGGUGGAGAGGGAAGCAGAAUUCCUGGUGUAGAGGUGAAAUUCGUAGAUAUCAGGAGGAACACCGGUGGCGAAGGCGGCUUCCUGGACACUUACUGACGCUGAGACGCGAAAGCGUGGGGAGCAAACAGG
rnacentral:rRNA from 1 species